rnacentral:tRNA from 1 species
CUCCGUAGCUCAGUGGCAGAGCGUUCGGCUGUAGCCCGAAAGAUCCCCGGUUCGAGUCCGGGCGGAGGGA